rnacentral:rRNA from 1 species
AAACCAGCACCUCAAGUGGUCAGGAGGAUUAUUGGGCCUAAAGCAUCCGUAGCCGGCUCUGUAAGUUUUCGGUUAAAUCUGUACGCUUAACGUACAGGCUGCUGGGAAUACUGCAGAGCUAGGGAGUGGGAGAGGUAGACGGUACUCGGGAGGAAGUGGUAAAAUGCUUUGAUCUCUCGAUGACCACCUGUGGCGAAGGCGGUCUACCAGAACACGUCCGACGGUGAGGGAUGAAAGCUGGGGGAGCAAACCGGAUUAGAAACCCUUGUAGUCC